rnacentral:ncRNA from 1 species
UCUCGCUCUUAUAUUUUGUAAGUCUACGUGCUUUUGCAAACAUCCGCAUUUGCAAUGCGCAUUGUUGCAAUGCCAUACCGAUAGCUAUUGCGUUGCCUAUCCGUUAGCUUCAAGUCGUGAACCAACCAUCCGAUGAUAAAUUAUGAAAUAUGCAAGGUGGAAUGUAUAUCAUAAGAAAUGACCUCCGAAAUUAUCCUUUUAACCCUUUCGACUCGCGCCGACGACAGUUUUAGGCGGGGAGUUUCACUGGGGCGGUACAUUUGUCAAAUCGUAACGCAGGUGUCCUAAGGCUAGCUCAGAGAGGACGGAAACCUCUUGUAGAGCAAAAGGGCAAAAACUCGUCUGAUCUUGAUUUCCAGUAAAAAUAGAGACCGCGAAAGCGUGGCCUAUCGAUCCUUUUGAAUUAGAAGGUCUCUAGCAAGAGGUGUC